rnacentral:rRNA from 1 species
UAGGGAAUCUUCGGCAAUGGGGGCAACCCUGACCGAGCAACGCCGCGUGAGUGAAGAAGGUUUUCGGAUCGUAAAGCUCUGUUGUAAGUCAAGAACGAGUGUGAGAGUGGAAAGUUCACACUGUGACGGUAGCUUACCAGAAAGGGACGGCUAACUACGUGCCAGCAGCCGCGGUAAUACGUAGGUCCCGAGCGUUGUCCGGAUUUAUUGGGCGUAGAGCGAGCGCAGGCGGUUUGAUAAGUCUGAAGUUAAAGGCUGUGGCUCAACCAUAGUUCGCUUUGGAAACUGUCAAACUUGAGUGCAGAAGGGGAGAGUGGAAUUCCAGGUGUAGCGGUGAAAUGCGUAGAUAUAUGGAGGAACACCGGUGGCGAAAGCGGCUCUCUGGUCUGUAACUGACGCUGAGGCUCGAAAGCGUGGGGAGCGAACAGGAUUAGAUACCCUGGUAGUCCACGCCGUAAACGAUGAGUGCUAGGUGUUGGAUCCUUUCCGGGAUUCAGUGCCGCAGCUAACGCAUUAAGCACUCCGCCUGGGGAGUACGACCGCAAGGUUG